AUUGAACGCUGGCGGCAUGCCUUACACAUGCAAGUCGAACGGCAGCGCGGGGCAACCUGGCGGCGAGUGGCGAACGGGUGAGUAAUAUAUCGGAACGUACCCUGGAGUGGGGGAUAACGUAGCGAAAGUUUACGCUAAUACCGCAUACGAUCUAAGGAUNAAAGUGGGGGAUCGCAAGACCUCAUGCUCCUGGAGCGGCCGAUAUCUGAUUAGCUAGUUGGUGGGGUAAAGGCCUACCAAGGCAUCGAUCAGUAGCUGGUCUGAGAGGACGACCAGCCACACUGGAACUGAGACACGGUCCAGACUCCUACGGGAGGCAGCAGUGGGGAAUUUUGGACAAUGGGCGCAAGCCUGAUCCAGCAAUGCCGCGUGAGUGAAGAAGGCCUCGGGUUGUAAAGCUCUUUUGUCAGGGAAGAAACGGUGGGGGCUAAUAUCUCCUGCUAAUGACGGUACCUGAAGAAUAAGCACCGGCUAACUACGUGCCAGCAGCCGCGGUAAUACGUA
rnacentral:rRNA from 1 species